AAGAGGAGGCCCCUGAAUGAUGCGCAGCAUCAUUCUAUUCGAUGGGGCCGACGAUCUGCCGCCGAAGCUUUAGCUGAGGGGGCAAUACCUAAG
rnacentral:sRNA from 12 species